AGAGCUUCUCUUUCUCCCUGCUUUAAGACAUUAAGAAAUAAGUAUUGAUUCUCGAGAUAAGAAUAAGUGCCCUUUAUGGUGGUAGAAGUUUUGUCAUGAAAGAUGCACUAAGAAAGCUCUAGGAACUUGAGCUUGGACAACAUACGUGAAUAAAGUUCAGAACCAUAUUUUGGUUAUCCUUUUUUUCUUUAUCUCCUAGAUCAAAUAUUUUGUUGCAUAUAGGAAGCUGUACCUCUUAAGAAAUAAGUAUUGAUUCUCAACUGUUGCUUAAAUAUUUUUAGAACUGUUAACCAAGAAUUCCUGCAUUGGGAUCACCAAGGGUCUCAUCUUCUGCUUUGCCUUUCCUCUUCUUCCUUUUCCCACUUUUCUUUAUUUAAGCUCUCUUCUUUUUCUUUUUCUCCCUUUCGACAUCCCUAACAUCCUUUUUCUCUGUAGAUCCUGCAUCUUCCCUGCCUUCCCUUUUCUUUUUCUUGUUUCACCAAAACUAAAUGAAAGGAACUAGGGUAGUUGCAGCUAUCUGUGAAACUUAGGUGUUUUUACUUGCCAAGGAUUCAGUAAGGAGCACAAUGCAAUGUGGGGAAAAAAAAAGUCAAAGCAGCUCCUUGGCACUUCACCAUGUCUUCUUCUCUUUUAUGUUCGCCCACCAAUUUAACAUAUUUAAUUAUUCAAAGUGUCUUUUUUGUUUUCCAAGUGUUUCUCGUACAUAGUACUUUUGCUUUUGCAGUUAAUGUGACAAAUUCUAGUUCUGGUUGUCACUGAAUUGCCAAAUCAUCAUUUAUACCUAUAGGCAGAGAAGGGACAAUGAUGAAAAGGAUAUCACAGAUGCCUAUUAACAUGGCUUCUUUCUUGGUCUAUGUGGCUCUUUUGUUUUCAAAGCACCACACUUGGAACAGUUUGUUCAUCAUUGUUGUUCAGGAUAUCUUCAAAGUUCCAUCCUUUGUGUUUUUGCCUGAAAGCACUUAAUGGGGACUGAGGCGUGGUUGAUCGAUUGUUUGAUUGAUUUUGCGGCUAAAAGCAAAACAUCACCUUUUGAGAAUCAAAAAAGAGGAAGAAUGUUAUAUACUGAUAAAAAUGUUCCACAUUGAGUGAGGGAUGGGCUGUUGUCUCCUUAUAGGCAAUCCUCAGUUCAUGAUUUAGUAAUUUGGGUUGAGUUGGACCAAUGUCCAUUUUCAUGUAGUAUUGCUUUGUUUUGGAUGAACACAUUAUCAAAUCUGAUUGUUUUUGCUCUUAACUUCAGAUCUUACAUUGCUGCUCUUCUUCCUUUUCUUGUAGGAUGAAGGGAACUAAAGCACCAUCUUCAGAUUGUUGCAUCUACAUGGCCGGACAUUGUUUCUUGAUUAUGUAUCUUUGCGAUGUCUGAUAUCUGCAAGAUAAUCUGUAAUAGAGAACAUAAAAUUUGAUGUUUUCAUUUGGUGGUACAAAUUUGUAGUCUCGCAAUCCAGUUGCAGUCAAGCACUCCCCUCCUCCCAAAUCCACCAAAAGAAAAAAUAUUUCUGAUCAAUUGAAAGGGUGUUCCCUCAAGUUUAUGAUGUUUUCUAAAGAUUUUAACAUGUUUCUGAACUCGUAGUCACAUUAUUUGAAUUGCAGAGAGCAAAAUGUCGCCUCUAGUUAUUUAUUUAUGGACAAAUUACUGUAUAUUUUGCUUUCUGAGUACAUCUGGAAAU
rnacentral:lncRNA from 1 species